GACGAACGCUGGCGGCGUGCUUAACACAUGCAAGUCGCGCGGAAAGGCCCCUUUUUGGGGUGCUCGAGCGGCGAACGGGUGAGUAACACGUGAGUGACCUGCCCUGCGCUUGGGGAUAAACCCUCGGAAACGGGGCUAAUACCCGAUAUUCAUACGGGUUUGCAUGGCUCGUGUGGAAAGGUUUUACUUGGCGUGGGAUGGGCGUCGCGGCCUAUCAGCUUGUUGGUGGGGUGAUGGCCACC
rnacentral:rRNA from 1 species